UACGUAGGGGGCUAGCGUUGUCCGGAAUCAUUGGGCGUAAAGAGCGCGUAGGCGGCCAGAUAAGUCCGGUGUGAAAGUCAAAGGCUCAACCUUUGAAUGCCGCUGGAAACUGUCUGGCUAGAGUCCGGGAGGGGCGAGUGGAAUUCCUGGUGUAGCGGUGAAAUGCGCAGAUAUCAGGAGGAACACCAAUGGCGAAGGCAGCUCGCUGGAACGGUACUGACGCUGAGGCGCGAAAGCAUGGGGAGCAAACAGG
rnacentral:rRNA from 1 species